rnacentral:rRNA from 1 species
CGAGUCGCACGAGUUCACACUCGUGGCAAACGGCUCAGUAACACGUGGCCAAACUGCCCUAUGGACGCGGAUAAUCUCGGGAAACUGAGGCUAAUCCGUGAUACUGCUCUCGAGCUGGAAUGCUGAGAGCACGAAACGCUCCGGCGCCAUAGGAUGUGGCUGCGGCCGAUUAGGUAGACGGUGGGGUAACGGCCCACCGUGCCGAUAAUCGGUACGGGUAGUGAGAGCUAGAGCCCGGAGACGGACUCUGAGACAAGAGUCCGGGCCCUACGGGGCGCAGCAGGCGCGAAACCUUUACACUGCACGACAGUGCGAUAGGGGGAUUCCGAGUGCGAGGGCGUACAGUCCUCGCUUUUCUGUACCUUAAGGUGGUACAGGAAUAAGAGCUGGGCAAGACCGGUGCCAGCCGCCGCGGUAAUACCGGCAGCUCAAGUGAUGACCGAU